rnacentral:rRNA from 1 species
AAUUCGAUUAGAGUUUGAUCCUGGCUCAGGAUGAACGCUGGCGGCGUGCCUAAUACAUGCAAGUCGAGCGAACCGAUUAGAAGCUUGCUUCUAUGACGUUAGCGGCGGACGGGUGAGUAACACGUGGGCAACCUGCCUGUAAGACUGGGAUAACUUCGGGAAACCGAAGCUAAUACCGGAUAGGAUCUUCUCCUUCAUGGGAGAUGAUUGAAAGAUGGUUUCGGCUAUCACUUACAGAUGGGCCCGCGGUGCAUUAGCUAGUUGGUGAGGUAACGGCUCACCAAGGCAACGAUGCAUAGCCGACCUGAGAGGGUGAUCGGCCACACUGGGACUGAGACACGGCCCAGACUCCUACGGGAGGCAGCAGUAGGGAAUCUUCCGCAAUGGACGAAAGUCUGACGGAGCAACGCCGCGUGAGUGAUGAAGGCUUUCGGGUCGUAAAACUCUGUUGUUAGGGAAGAACAAGUACGAGAGUAACUGCUCGUACCUUGACGGUACCUAACCAGAAAGCCACGGCUAACUACGUGCCAGCAGCCGCGGUAAUACGUAGGUGGCAAGCGUUAUCCGGAAUUAUUGGGCGUAAAGCGCGCGCAGGCGGUUUCUUAAGUCUGAUGUGAAAGCCCACGGCUCAACCGUGGAGGGUCAUUGGAAACUG